rnacentral:rRNA from 1 species
AGCGGAGGAAAAGAAACCAACCGGGAUUGCCUUAGUAACGGCGAGUGAAGCGGCAAAAGCUCAAAUUUGAAAUCUGGUACCUUCGGUGCCCGAGUUGUAAUUUGGAGAGGGCAACUUUGGGGCCGUUCCUUGUCUAUGUUCCUUGGAACAGGACGUCAUAGAGGGUGAGAAUCCCGUGUGGCGAGGAGUGCGGUUCUUUGUAAAGUGCCUUCGAAGAGUCGAGUUGUUUGGGAAUGCAGCUCUAAGUGGGUGGUAAAUUCCAUCUAAAGCUAAAUAUUGGCGAGAGACCGAUAGCGAACAAGUACAGUGAUGGAAAGAUGAAAAGAACUUUGAAAAGAGAGUGAAAAAGUACGUGAAAUUGUUGAAAGGGAAGGGCAUUUGAUCAGACAUGGUGUUUUGUGCCCUCUGCUCCUUGUGGGUAGGGGAAUCUCGCAUUUCACUGGGCCAGCAUCAGUUUUGGUGGCAGGAUAAAUCCAUAGGAAUGUAGCUUGCCUCGGUAAGUAUUAUAGCCUGUGGGAAUACUGCCAGCUGGGACUGAGGACUGCGAC